rnacentral:rRNA from 1 species
GAUGAACGCUGGCGGCGUGCCUAAUACAUGCAAGUCGAGCGAAUGGAUUAAGAGCUUGCUCUUAUGACGUUAGCGGCGGACGGGUGAGUAACACGUGGGUAACCUGCCCAUAAGACUGGGAUAACUCCGGGAAACCGGGGCUAAUACCGGAUAACAUUUUGAACCGCAUGGUUCGAAAUUGAAAGGCGGCUUCGGCUGUCACUUAGGGCUGGACCCGCGUCGCAUUAGCUAGUUGGUGAGGUAACGGCUCACCAAGGCAACGAUGCGUAGCCGACCUGAGAGGGUGAUCGGCCACACUGGGACUGAGACACGGCCCAGACUCCUACGGGAGGCAGCAGUAGGGAAUCUUCCGCAAUGGACGAAAGUCUGACGGAGCAACGCCGCGUGAGUGAUGAAGGCUUUCGGGUCGUAAAACUCUGUUGUUAGGGAAGAACAAGUGCUAGUUGAAUAAGCUGGCACCUUGACGGUACCUAACCAGAAAGCCACGGCUAACUACGUGCCAGCCGCCGCGGUAA